rnacentral:rRNA from 1 species
GAUGAACGCUAGCUACAGGCUUAACACAUGCAAGUCGAGGGGAAACGGCAUCGAAAGCUUGCUUUUGAUGGGCGUCGACCGGCGCACGGGUGAGUAACGCGUAUCCAACCUGCCCAUCACUUGGGAAUAACCUUGCGAAAGUAAGACUAAUGCCCAAUGACAUCCCACGAAGGCAUCCGAAUGGGAUUAAAGAUUUAUCGGUGAUGGAUGGGGAUGCGUCUGAUUAGCUUGUUGGCGGGGUGACGGCCCACCAAGGCAACGAUCAGUAGGGGUUCUGAGAGGAAGGUCCCCCACAUUGGAACUGAGACACGGUCCAAACUCCUACGGGAGGCAGCAGUGAGGAAUAUUGGUCAAUGGGCGAGAGCCUGAACCAGCCAAGUAGCGUGCAGGAUGACGGCCCUAUGGGUUGUAAACUGCUUUUAUAAGGGAAUAAAGUGGGUCACGUGUGACUUUUGGCAUGUACCUUAUGAAUAAGGACCGGCGAAUUCCGU